UGGAUGGGGUGUGGCUUGGCAGCUAUCGUGACCAGACGAUCCUUGCAGGAGAUCCUGUUAGGAAAGGUUUUUUGGGCCGAUAUAAGCCUUCCUGCUGCACCCAAACCCGCCCUGUCAGCACCUUAUUGUCCCGCUGCUCUGACUGUGCUGCCGGGGUGAAGGCUCCUGGAUCCGGGAGAGGCCUCCUGCCUCUCUGCAGGUUGCGGCCCACCCUUCUCCCACAAGCCGGGGACUAAAUUCCUUACCGAGUCCCGGUCCUCCGGCCCCGAUUGGCGUGAUGCAGGCCGCUGCGCUCCUGCUCUCCGGACUGUGCCCUCCUUCACGCGGCCUGCCUAUGACCCCUGCCGGGACACCCGUGGUAGCCGCCGCUUGCCCGCGCGGCUAGGGGGUCUUUCACCUGCCGUCUCGGGCCAUGUCUGCAGGUUGUUGCUGGAGGGGCUGCGCUGGGACCGGAUGCACACCACCUUCUCAGAGAUGCUGUCUCGAGCCUCCAGGAUGGAGCAAUUGAAAAGCAUAGCACAAUAAUGCAGAUUUUGUACAUGGAAAACUACAAAGGAAAAGGAAAUAUUCCAGAACAUGAUAUUUGGACUGUUAUCUGCUGUUGUGAGAACUGCCUGUAAACCUGACCUGCUAAUCCUGACUAUGAAGCUGUAUCCUGCCUGAGGG